AGGAUGGGUGGAAGGCUCGGUUGAUGAAGACCCCAGGGAAUGGAUAAGACCCCAGAUUGAACAAAAUCUUACAAUGCACAUAAACACAAAAUGACAAA